rnacentral:lncRNA from 1 species
CGUACGAAACAAAGAGGGUGAGGGAACGACGCAACAGAGAUUGGAGAAGGAACGCUGCAACGAACAGGAGAAGAAGGAAUGACGUACGGAGGGAAAGCAGAGAGGAAACGGUCUCUUCUGUACAAAAAAAUCGGAAUAAAGGGUGUAGCAUUUGAUGGAGGUGUUAUUGGGCUAGGAUGAUAGUAGCUCACUUGGGUUGAGUGUUUUAGAUUUGUAGCCUAUGGAUGGAGGUGUUAUAGGGAUAGGAUUGU